rnacentral:rRNA from 1 species
GGAAUUUUGGACAAUGGGCGCAAGCCUGAUCCAGCAAUGCCGCGUGCAGGAUGAAGGCCUUCGGGUUGUAAACUGCUUUUGUACGGAACGAAAGGGCUCUGGUUAAUACCUGGGGCAUAUGACGGUACCGUAAGAAUAAGCACCGGCUAACUACGUGCCAGCAGCCGCGGUAAUAUGUAGGGUGCGAGCGUUAAUCGGAAUUACUGGGCGUAAAGCGUGCGCAGGCGGUAAUGCAAGACAGAUGUGAAAUCCCCGGGCUUAACCUGGGAACUACAUUUGUGACUGCAUUGCUGGAGUGCGGCAGAGGGGGAUGGAAUUCCGCGUGUAGCAGUGAAAUGCGUAGAUAUGCGGAGGAACACCGAUGGCGAAGGCAAUCCCCUGGGCCUGCACUGACGCUCAUGCACGAAAGCGUGGGGAGC